AUGCUUAAGGUAACAUUAUAUAUGUCGUAUGAAAAUUACAGGUGCAAUUGGGAAACUUACCCAGAGUCCAUGACAAUGUGUCUGUCUAAUGAACUACCCUGGCUGUUGUGUGAGAACCAUUUUGGUUUUAUUACUGGUGGUGAUACUACUUUUCAACCUUGGAAGCUGUCCUCUGCCUUGGAAGAUUCAGGAGAAAGACUGGUAGCUAUAGAGCACCUAUGAUGGGGAUAUCCCUCCUAUAUUGUGGAAAGAAUAUAAGAUGAGCUUCACAAUUUCAUUAUGGUCGCUUUCAUAUGCAGGAAGCUUUUCAGUUUAAGAGAAAAUCUGAAUGUCACUUUCAUAUAACACAAACAUUGUAAAAGCAAUAUCUGUGUAUCAGCAUUUCAAUGUGUAUUUUAAAGGGUAAU
rnacentral:lncRNA from 1 species